AGCUCCAAUAGCGUAUACUAAAGUUGUUGCAGUUAAAAAGCUCGUAGUCGAAUGAUGAUUCUUUUGUUGGCGCGGACGCUUAGGUGUAACUUAAGACUGUCUGUGCCCAAGAAUCACCUUGGUGUGGUACGAAUUUAGUAGAAAUAUUCUACUAUUAUUCGCCACACACAUUACUGUGAACAAAAUAGAGUGUUCAUGGCAGGCCAUUAAGGCUUGAAUACCUCAGCAUGGAAUAAUAGAAUAGGACUUCCGGUUCUAUUUUGUUGGUUUUUGGAGCCGAAGUAAUGAUUAAUAGGGAUAGUUGGGGGCACUCGUACUCCGUUGUCAGAGGUGAAAUUCUAGGAUUGACGGAAGACGAACAACUGCGAAAGCAUCUGCCAAGGAUGUUUUCAUUG
rnacentral:rRNA from 1 species